rnacentral:pre_miRNA from 1 species
UGGACAAAUUAUUGUAUUCGACUGUAUUCACGGUGUGAAAUAGGGGAUUACACUAUUUUUAAAAGGAAAGUGAAUCAAUUAACAUAAUAAACACCU